rnacentral:tRNA from 1 species
AGUAAGAUGACUGAGGAAUAGGUGAUAAAUUGUAAAUUUAUUUAGGAAGUUAAUACUUCUCUUGCUA